rnacentral:rRNA from 1 species
ACGGCUCAGUAACACGUGGAUAACCUGCCCUUGGGACCGGCAUAACCCCGGGAAACUGGGGAUAAUUCCGGAUAACGCAUAUGUGCUGGAAUGCUUUAUGCGUAAAAUGGAUUCGUCUGCCCAAGGAUGGGUCUGCGGCCUAUCAGGUAGUAGUGGGUGUAAUGUACCUACUAGCCGACAACGGGUACGGGUUGUGAGAGCAAGAGCCCGGAGAUGGAUUCUGAGACAUGAAUCCAGGCCCUACGGGGCGCAGCAGGCGCGAAAACUUUACAAUGCGGGAAACCGUGAUAAGGGGACACCGAGUGCCAGCAUCAUAUGCUGGCUGUCCGGGUGUGUAAAAUACACCUGUUAGCAAGGGCCGGGCAAGACCGGUGCCAGCCGCCGCGGUAACACCGGCGGCCCGAGUGGUGAUCGUGAUUAUUGGGUCUAAAGGGUCCGUAGCCGGUUUGGUCAGUCCUCCGGGAAAUCUGAUAGCUCAACUAUUAGGCUUUCGGGGGAUACUGCCAGACUUGGAACCGGGAGAGGUAAGAGGUACUACAGGGGUAGGAGUGAAAUCUUGUAAUCCCUGUGGGACCACCUGUGGCGAAGGCGUCUUACCAGAACGGGUUCGACGGUGAGGGACGAAAGCUGGGGGCACGAACCGGAUUAGAUACCCGGGUAGUCCCAGCCGUAAACGAUGCUCGCUAGGUGUCAGGCAUGGCGCGACCGUGUCUGGUGCCGCAGGGAAGCCGUGAAGCGAGCCACCUGGGAAGUACGGCCGCAAGGCUGAAACUUAAAGGAAUUGGCGGGGGAGCAC